rnacentral:rRNA from 1 species
UACGGAGGGGGCUAGCGUUGUUCGGAAUUACUGGGCGUAAAGCGCGCGUAGGCGGACCUGCAAGUCGGGGGUGAAAGCCCGAGGCUCAACCUCGGAACUGCCUUCGAUACUGCGGGUCUCGAGUCCGGGAGAGGUGAGUGGAAUUCCGUAGUGUAGAGGUGAAAUUCGUAGAUAUUAGGAAGAACACCAGUGGCGAAGGCGGCUCACUGGCCCGGUACUGACGCUGAGGCGCGAAGGUCAGGGGAGCAAACGGG